UACAGAGGGGGCAAGCGUUAUUCAGAAUUAUUGGGCGUAAAGGGCGCGUAGGCGGCUUGGCAAGUGGAAGGUGAAAUCCCUCGGCUUAACCGAGGAACUGCCCUCCAAACUGCUUCGCUUGAGACCGGGAGAGGUGAGUGGAAUUCCCAGUGUAGCGGUGAAAUGCGUAGAUAUUGGGAGGAACACCAGUGGCGAAGGCGGCUCACUGGACCGGUACUGACGCUGAUGCGCGAAAGCGUGGGGAGCAAACGGG
rnacentral:rRNA from 1 species